UACGGGGGGGGCAAGCGUUGUUCGGAAUUACUGGGCGUAAAGGGCUCGUAGGCGGCCAACUAAGUCAGACGUGAAAUCCCCAGGCUCAACCUGGGAACUGCGUCUGAUACUUGAUGGCUUGAAUCCGGGAGAGGGAUGCAGAAUUCCAGGUGUAGCGGUGAAAUGCGUAGAUAUCUGGAGGAAUACCGGCGGCGAAGGCGGCAUCCUGGACCGGCAUUGACGCUGAGGAGCGAAAGCCAGGGGAGCAAACGGG
rnacentral:rRNA from 1 species